AAAGAGGCCGGAAUUAUCCCAAAGUAACACAUAGACAUUGGAUUAGCUGUUAUCACUGGAAUUAUACACCAAAAAGUGAGUUAUGAUGAUAAACCAUCAAAGGUGUGAGUCUUUUCUGUUUUCAGAUCCAGGCUGGGCCUCCUUCCAGUCACCGAGGUGGUCAGGCUCUUUCCAUACGACGAAGCAGGCUCGAGAGUAAUGGAUCCAUUUAGCAGUAAUAUUCCUUAAUGGAAACAGCCUAAUUACAACCACAAAUAACCACAAGCUUUCACAAAGGAUAAACGAUACAAAAGCAGAAAGAAGGCAGAUCUGUUUCCCAGAGGUAUUUGAUGGGAGAGCCAAAGAGGGAGGAAGUGUGGGUCUGCAGCCCCCGUGUUAACAAUGGCUCUCCUCAGACCCCCGGCCCAGGACCAGCCAGUCAUGAAACACCAUGGAGAUGUUAUUGACCUCAAGGUUAACUCUCCUCAGCUCCGUUCCUCAAACACACAUCUGAGGACAAAAGGCGGGGAUGCUCGCCAAGGAAAGGGAGGACGAGCGUCGCCUCGGGCCAAUCACAGCCGCCCCUGAGAUUGCGCUACUACUCACGCCAAUAUGGGCUCCGUACUUAAAAGGCAAGAACAGGUCCGUCUGGUGAGUUGCACAGACUCUACAUUGGUUUACCUGUUUCCAUCCACCAUCAGUCAUCCACAGAGGGACGGUGAAGCGUCGGGCAGGAGAGCGCCGUACAAAGACUUUCUUUAUCACGGCAGGGCUUCGGUUUUCACCAGCUUAUCAAGAUCUCCCGCGAGCGUGCUGAAAAAAAAAACACCCCCUACACAUAUGAUAGACGGUAUAGAUUUUGCAAACCACACACAUACACACACACAUUUUUUGCAUAUGCAGUACACAAUGUGUGUUAAUGACAGAUAGAAAAAAGGCAUUAUAAAACAAGCUACUG